ACAUUGAAACACUGGUUUCCGUACGAUCACUGAAGUUAAGCAACGUAGAACCUUGUCAGUACCUAUAUGGGUGACAGCUCGGGAAUACCAGAUGCUGUAAG